AACGAACGCUGGCGGCAGGCCUAACACAUGCAAGUCGAACGGACCCUUCGGGGUUAGUGGCGGACGGGUGAGUAACACGUGGGAACGUGCCUUUAGGUUCGGAAUAACUCAGGGAAACUUGUGCUAAUACCGAAUGUGCCCUUCGGGGGAAAGAUUUAUCGCCUUUAGAGCGGCCCGCGUCUGAUUAGCUAGUUGGUGAGGUAAAGGCUCACCAAGGCUACGAUCAGUAGCUGGUCUGAGGAUGACCAGCCACAUUGGGACUGAGACACGGCCCAAACUCCUACGGGAGGCAGCAGUGGGGAAUCUUGCGCAAUGGGCGAAAGCCUGACGCAGCCAUGCCGCGUGGAUGAUGAAGGUCUUAGGAUUGUAAAAUCCUUUCACCGGUGAAGAUAAUGACUGUAGCCGGAGAAGAAGCCCCGGCUAACUUCGUGCCAGCCGCCGCGGUAAGAC
rnacentral:rRNA from 1 species